AUCGAACCAAAUACAGAUAAGAAUGCAUGCUCAUCGGCAGACAUGUGUAAGUAUGUCCGUAAACCUACCCAAAGAUAAAUAUAUUUUCAUUUACGUAUCUGUACAAAAGGGUCUGCAUCUAUCUACAUAUAUAUAAGGACGUUUCUUGCAUGCUAUUUGAACGUUCCUUUAUAGAGGCGCGUCGCCACCUGCAUGGACUGGACGAGGGCAGUCUUACUUGCAGAUGUGGAGAGUGAUUUUGUGUGAGAAGUAGCAGGUGAUGAGGGCCGUGGAGCCUUGAGCAAGGUCGAUUCUGGCCAUGGCGCCGAUCAGCAAAGACUUGCCUUCCGUCACCGCGUAGGUGAUCGGCUGCAGGCGUUUCGACGGGACGAUGGAAUACAAGUCGGCGGCGAAGCGAAGCAGAGACGUCACCUGAGAAGUGAAAAAGAGAGAAGAGACAGGACACCAGGAGUCGCAAAAACGAGCGCAUGCAGAGGCCUUGCACCGAAGGGACACGAAGGCAUGCCAGAGAGAGGAAACGAAAACCGAAAACAGAAAACGCGGAAGACCGCCCAAAAUGGAACGCGAUGCGAGCGAAAACAACUGAGCUCGGGACACAAAGAGGAAGCGCCUUUUAAAGCUCUCCGGAGACUCCCCGUGGAGGCAUGCCGACGUCUUCGGGGUUUCGAACGGGAAAGAAAAGACGCAAAAAAAGCGAAAGGAAACCGGUCUUCCAUGACGGCAACCGACGUACUUGAUGUCUGGAAGGUAUUCCGGGUGUAUCGAUGAGUUUGAAAUCCUUAGGCAGACCAAAAGGCAAGAAGGAGAGCGUCGUGCCGGGCAUGGCCGAUCGCGUGACGCCUCCUGACGCUCGCUUCAUGAAGAUCGUUCCGGCGUGCCUGAGAACCGAGAAGGCGAAUCAGUCUCACACCAACAAAGUAACUCACACGAGCCUCCCUCGUGCUUCGCUUUCUUUCCCGUAGGACGCGCCACGCGAAUCGCAUCAGCAGGUAUCGCGGAAAUCGCCCUGUCGCGUUUCCGCUGACGCGUCGCAGCAGAGUGAUAAAAAGGCGACCUCAGGCGGUUUUUGCCACCACGCUUCCGACCGGCUGGCCUAACGCCGCGGCGAAACGGCAAGCAGAAAAACAAAUCACUGAACGCCCGGAGACCUCGCAGAGCCUCGACGAAAAGGAUUGUGCACGAAAUACAGUCUCAGAGCGCCAGGACGAACGGAAGCUCUCAGUCGAGACAGUGUCUUGCGCUGGAGCGUUGUGUCGCCCGGUUGCUCAGGAAGUCGCGGAUCCGCGCCUGGAAAGGGCGCGGAGUGUGCUGCGUCUUGAAAAAUGAAUCUGCGGUGUGCAGGCGUGUCCGUAACUUCCGUUGGAAUCUUUGGUUCGCCUCAAGUAUGUCGCCUUCUACUUGGACUUCGCGCUUGGCAAUGUCACGCCGUGUUGUUUCAGGCGCCGCUGCGGCAUCUCAACCCGAGGCGAACUGCUGUUGAUCAGUUGAGAAACAAACAGCGACGAUUGCUGCGACUGCUGCUCGGUUUUUGCAGUUCCCUGUGUGUGGUUCUUGCCGUCUACGCGCGGCGCCUUGGGAGAUUUCUUCGCCUCGCGUUCUCCACGCGCCAGUUCGCGUCUCUUCUGUCGCUCGUUGCGGCUUACUUGUAGUUGAUGAAUUUGAGGAACCUCGUGACAAAAGUCGACUUCCCAGCGUUUACUCUGCCCACCACGUAGAUGCGACGGCCUUCGACUGCGGAGACACCCCCCGGCGCGGGCACCAGGAGAUGUUCGAGCCGGCGCUCGAGGUCUUCGAAGCCUUCCCCUGCACGAUUGGAGAAACGCGAACGAAAUCGGCGACAACCUUUCGGAGACCAGGCGCGCGCGAACACCCCGCAGAGAGUACCGUCGAACCCACGGGGCCGCAGGCGCAAGCGGAAAAACGACACACGUGUCAGAGAGGAGACAGAAGCAUGGAGAGAGACGGGGGAAGCGGAGGAAGGGAACGGGAUACCGACCCUAGGCGAAACACGAAGCGCGAGUGGUGUUACGGAACCGCGUGAGGAUAAGAAAGGAGAAACAAUUCGUCGGCGAAGAGAGCCGAUCGAAGAGCCAGUCGCGAGACAGUGGAGGGAUGUCAAAUGCACUGUCUGUGGAGCGAGAGGCGGUAGGACAGGCGGCGAAAGAAGAGAGAAACCACGAGAGGGAGAGCGAGAGAGGGAACAAGAGAGAGAGGAGCGAAAACAAUAGAGAAACAGGACGACAAGGAGAGACGGAGAAGGAGAGAGGUGGAGGAGAGAGAGACGAAGAGAACGGGAAAGAGGUAGAGAGAGAAGGAAGAGAAGGCACGGGACGCACCUGUGGCGGAUGAAACGAGGAUGCAGUCGUCAAUGUGGACAUUGUCGAUUUGUCGCACCAUGCGUCUUACCCACUCCUUAACUCUGUUCAAAAAAAGAAGAAGCAACGCGAUAGAACAGUUGUAAGAAAAAAACGCCAAGACGCAGGCAGGCAACAGCAAGCGAGCCUCGGGCUCAAACGCGCUCUUCGAGAAAGAGGGAAAAAAGAAAAACGCGGCAGUCUGUACACCCCAGUAAGAGACGACAGAAGGAAGCGAAAACACGCCGAGCGAAACGGCGAACGAACAGACAAUCUGCGGUGUGAGCAAACCUGCGGAGCGUGUGGCCCAGAGGAGACGCCACUGACAGGACAGAGAGAAAAGAGCGAGAGAGACUCUGUGGAAAAACCUACUCUCGCUUUUGCGCUGUGCGAGGCAGGCAGUCGAUUCGGUUGAUAAGCCAGAUGACCUGAAAGAGAAAAGGCGGAGCUGUCGUCUCAUCUGUUCACAGUCAAAGUUGAAAGAAGUGUGGAACUCGAGAGAAACGCCCGGUGGACCUACACUGGGCACGGGCGGCAGACACCGGCUCCGGAGUUUUCUUCUCUUCAGGGAGUAGGACAAGACGUCUACUGAGAGGGGAAUGCAUGCACAGUGAUGGAGGAGACGUUCGUUGGAACGGACGCAGCGCGGAAGCCAUCAUGCACGUGCAUGCAGAAUGUAAAUCAGGCUGCUGGAGCCAUGCCAAGGGCGACGACGGAGUGAACAUGUCUCCGGUCGACCCGGGAGACAGCCCGACGCAGAUGGAUUCAGCGAGAGACGGACAGGGCGUGUGUCUGAUCGACGCCGGAGUCCUUCUGAAACAGAGCGUCGGGGUGACUGCUGGAGCUCCACUCCGGGAGAUAGCCCGGAAGGCAGGCAGAUCCACGAGGGACGGGCGCAAGCAGGGAGAGAAGGGAAAGGGUCAUUUGGAAGAAGAUGGAUAAAGAGGAACACGGAAGCGAUAUAUCUCCUCUGUCAGAGGUUUUCUCAUAUAUAUAUAUAUAUAUACGUGGAUAUAUAUUUUUUAUAUGAACGUCUGUUUGGGGAUAUCUGUCUAGAUGCAGAGACACAUGCGCGCUCUCGAGGGGCCAAUGAAGAAGAAGUGGAGAAGGCCGCGAGGACCCAUCCGUGGAUGGCAGAGGGGACUUUGCCAGCUUGCGCGAGAUGCAGAGUUUCACGCACUUUGUACUGGAAAGGCGCGAGAAAUCAUUGAGCAUAAAGCAUUGGCAUGCAGAGGCGGAGUUCGAAGACGACACUCUACGCAGACAACUGAACACGUGCAGCGAAAACGUUUUCUUACGUGGAGACGCUUGGAGCGACACGCCUGAAACAAUUCGGGAACGACGGAGCUCUCGAGGUCACACACAUCAACCAGUUUGAGCACAACCGAGUCCUUCUUCAUGGUUUUCACAAUCGCGUUAACGACAGUUUCAGGUUCGAGAGACGGCAGCAAUGCGUCCUGCGCGUUCGCCGCCGCUUCCCACUGACCGUCCAGCUGCUUGUACAUCUGAAAAGCCAACACGAAGGUGGAAACGCGGGAAAAGAGCAACAGGGGGAGGAAAAUGCGAUGACAAUGAACAAGGUCAAGACAGAGAAGCCGAGGACGAAGAGAGGGAAGAAAACAGAAGGACUGAUCACGGGCUCUCACACGCGGCUAGCAGGUGAAGCAGCGAGAUCAAACCGGUAUACCCCGGUUGAAGGGUAUAGACAUACACAUGUGUACGCCACAAUCAUACACCACACAAACCAUAAAUAUAUAUAGAUAUAGAUAUUAAUCCAUGUAUGGAGAUAGAGAAGGUGUUCCAGAGACCGUUAUUAUCCUGCACUCGUGAAUCUCAGACCGGAUUUGCCUUUAUGUUUAUUGCUUUGCGUCUCGGGUGGUCCUCCAUUCUUCGCCCUCUUUCUGUCCGCGCGUUUUUUCUUCACUGUUUGCUUGUUUUCCCUGCCUGUCUUGGCGGGUUGUCUUUCUUCUCAAACGGCUGCCGAUCUCCC
rnacentral:lncRNA from 1 species